GACGAACGCUGGCGGCGUGCUUAACACAUGCAAGUCGAGCGAUGAAGCUCCUUCGGGAGUGGAUUAGCGGCGGACGGGUGAGUAACACGUGGGUAACCUGCCUCAUAGAGGGGAAUAGCCUUUCGAAAGGAAGAUUAAUACCGCAUAAAAUUGUAGCUUCGCAUGAAGCAGCAAUUAAAGGAGUAAUCCGCUAUGAGAUGGACCCGCGUCGCAUUAGCUAGUUGGUGAGGUAACGGCUCACCAAGGCGACGAUGCGUAGCCGACCUGAGAGGGUGAUCGGCCACAUUGGGACUGAGACACGGCCCAGACUCCUACGGGAGGCAGCAGUGGGGAAUAUUGCACAAUGGGGGAAACCCUGAUGCAGCAACGCCGCGUGAGUGAUGACGGUCUUCGGAUUGUAAAGCUCUGUCUUCAGGGACGAUAAUGACGGUACCUGAGGAGGAAGCCACGGCUAACUACGUGCCAGCAGCCGCAGUAAAAC
rnacentral:rRNA from 1 species